rnacentral:rRNA from 1 species
GACGAACGCUGGCGGCGUGCUUAACACAUGCCAGUCGAACGGAAAGGCCCUGCUUUUGUGGGGUGCUCGAGUGGCGAACGGGUGAGUAACACGUGAGUAACCUGCCCUUGACUUUGGGAUAACUUCAGGAAACUGGGGCUAAUACCGGAUACGAGCUCCUGCGGCAUGGUGGGGAUUGGAAAGUUUCGUCGGUUGGGGAUGGACUCGCGGCUUAUCAGCUUGUUGGUGGGGUAGUGGCUUACCAAGGCUUUGACGGGUAGCCGGCCUGAGAGGGUGACCGGCCACAUUGGGACUGAGACACGGCCCAGACUCCUACGGGAGGCAGCAGUGGGGAAUAUUGCACAAUGGGCGGAAGCCUGAUGCAGCAACGCCGCGUGCGGGAUGACGGCCUUCGGGUUGUAAACCGCUUUCGCCUGUGACGAAGCGUGAGUGACGGUAAUUGGUAAAGAAGCACCGGCUAACUACGUG